rnacentral:rRNA from 1 species
GUACAAUAAGCAAAAUAAGGGCGUAUGGGGGAUGCCUGUGGCUCUCAGAGGCGAAGAAGGACGUGAUAAGCUGCGAAAAGCUACGGGGAUUGGCACACACGAAUUGAUCCGUAGAUAUCCGAAUGGGGCAACCCACUAUACUGAAGGUAUAGUACCCGAUAGGGGGCAAACCCGCUGAACUGAAACAUCUAAGUAGGCGGAGGAGAAGAAAACAAAAGUGAUUCCGUAAGUAGUGGCGAGCGAAAGCGGAUUAGCCCAAACCAAUGUUGUUACGGCAAUACUGGGGUUGUAGGACCACGACAUUUCUUGCAAACAGAACUGGAAGCAUCUGGAAAGCUGCAUCACAGAGGGUGAUAAUCCCGUACAGGUAAUGAAUGUAAAGAAUAGUGGUAUCCUGAGUAGGGCGGGGCACGUGAAACCCUGUCUGAAUCUGGCGGGACCAUCCGCUAAGGCUAAAUACUCCUGAGAGACCGAUAGUGAAC